rnacentral:rRNA from 1 species
CCUACGGGUGGCAGCAGUGGGGGAUAUUGCACAAUGGGGGAAACCCUGAUGCAGCGACGCCGCGUGUGGGAAGACGGUCCUCUGGAUUGUAAACCACUGUCCUCAGGGACGAAGAUGACGGUACCUGGGGAGGAAGCUUCGGCUAACUACGUGCCAGCGGCCGAGGUCAUUGGCAGGGAGCGGGCGUAUUCGGGAAUUACUGGGUGUAACGGGAGCGUAGGGGGGAGUGAAAGUUGUGGGUAAAGUCUACCGGCUAAACCGAUAGUCGCACUCAAAACUGCAGUCCUAGAGUUAAGUAGAGGCAGGCGGAAUUCGUGGUGUAGCGGUGAAAUGCGUAGAUAUUAGGAGGAACACCAGUGGCGAAGGCAGCCUGCUAAGCUUUUACUGACGCUGAGGCUCGAAAGUGUGGGGAGCAAACAGGAUUAGAUACCCGGGUAGUC